rnacentral:rRNA from 1 species
UUAACACAUGCAAGUCGAGGGGUAUUAGUUUUCGGACUAAGAGACCGGCGCACGGGUGCGUAACGCGUAUGCAAUCUACCUUUUACAGAGGGAUAGCCCAGAGAAAUUUGGAUUAAUACCUCAUAGUAUAGCAGUUUCGCAUGAAACCACUAUUAAAGUCACAACGGUAAAAGAUGAGCAUGCGUCCCAUUAGCUAGUUGGUAAGGUAACGGCUUACCAAGGCUACGAUGGGUAGGGGUCCUGAGAGGGAGAUCCCCCACACUGGUACUGAGACACGGACCAGACUCCUACGGGAGGCAGCAGUGAGGAAUAUUGGACAAUGGGCGCAAGCCUGAUCCAGCCAUGCCGCGUGCAGGAUGACGGUCCUAUGGAUUGUAAACUGCUUUUGUACGAGAAGAAACACUCCUAUGUAUAGGAGCUUGACGGUAUCGUAAGAAUAAGGAUCGGCUAACUCCGUGCCAGCAGCCGCGGUAAUACGGAGGAUCCAAGCGUUAUCCGGAAUCAUUGGGUUUAAAGGGUCCGUAGGCGGUUUAGUAAGUCAGUGGUGAAAGCCCAUCGCUCAACGGUGGAACGGCCAUUGAUACUGCUGAACUUGAAUUAUUAGGAAGUAACUAGAAUAUGUAGUGUAGCGGUGAAAUGCUUAGAGCUUACAUGGAAUACCAAUUGCGAAGGCAGGUUACUACUAA